rnacentral:rRNA from 1 species
GAUGAACGCUGGCGGCGUGCCUAAUACAUGCAAGUAGAACGCUGAAGGCGGAGCUUGCUCUUCUGGAUGAGUUGCGAACGGGUGAGUAACGCGUAGGUAACCUGCCUGGUAGCGGGGGAUAACUAUUGGAAACGAUAGCUAAUACCGCAUGACAACAGUUAUUGCAUGAUAACUGUUUAAAAGGGGCAACUGCUCCACUACCAGAUGGACCUGCGUUGUAUUAGCUAGUUGGUGAGGUAACGGCUCACCAAGGCUACGAUACAUAGCCGACCUGAGAGGGGGAGCGGCCACCCUGGGAGGGAGACCCGGCCCAGACUCCUACGGGAGGGAGCAGUAGGGAAACUUCGGGAAUGGACGGAAGACUGACCGAGCAACGCCGCGUGAGGGAAGAAGGUUGUCGGAUCGUAAAGCUCGGUUGUAAGGGAAGAACGAGUGUGAGAGUGGAAAGUUCACACUGUGACGGUAUCUUACCAGAAAGGGACGGCUAACUACGUG